GGCUGGUAUGAGUGCAGUGGUGUUUACAGUAAUGUAUCACAACCAGAUUUCUUUGUUCCUUCUUCAUUUCCACUGCUUCACUUGACUAGCCUUUU
rnacentral:Y_RNA from 1 species